rnacentral:rRNA from 1 species
GCUGAAAACCUAGCUUACCCAAUUCCUAUGAAUACACCACCUUAACAUAAACUAAAUAAAACAUUUUGUACAUUUAGUAAAGGCGAUUAAAAAAUGUCUCAAAGCUAUAGAAACUAGUACCGCAAGGGAAAAGUGAAAUAUUAGUGAAAAACCUCAAGCACAAAAAAGUAGAGCUAUAACCUCGUACCUUUUGCAUCAUGGUCUAACUAGUUCAACCAAGCAAAAUGAAUUUUAAGUUUGACUUCCCGAAACUAAGUGAGCUACUUAAAAACAGCCUUCCGGGCCAACCCGUCUCUGUUGCAAAAGAGUGGGAAGAUUUUUAAGUAGAGGUGAUAGACCUACCGAACCUAGAGAUAGCUGGUUAUUCAGGAAAAGGAUUUAAGUCCUACCUUAAGUUUACAGUAUAAAAUAAUACAUAAUUAACUUUAAGAGCUAUUCAAAUAAGGUACAGCCUAUUUGAAACAGGAUACAACCUCCACAAACGGGUAACAUUUUCUUUUAUCAAUUAAGUGGGCCUAAAAGCAGCCAUCUUACAAAAAGCGUUAAAGCUUCAUUGUUUUUAUCAAAAAUACCAUUAAUUAACUGUAACCCUUCACCUGUACUGAAUGAUCUCAUAGUUAUAUGAGAGCCUAUAUGUUAGAACUAGUAACAAGAAGAAGCCCUUCUCCAAAAUGUAAGCGUAAGCCAAAAUGAACUAUUCAUUGGCAUUUAAAGUUAUAAACCUAUUGUAGCAACUUAACAAGAAAAACCUACAACUGAUAAACGUCAACCUUACACAAGCACAUCUCUGGAAAGAUAAAAAGAAUAGGAAGGAACUCGGCAAACAACUAACCCCGCCUGUUUACCAAAAACAUCGCCUCCUGAUCACCCAUAGGAGGUCCAGCCUGCCCAGUGACUAAGUUAAACGGCCGCGGUACCCUAACCGUGCAAAGGUAGCGCAAUCACUUGUUCUUUAAAUGAGGACUAGUAUGAACGGCAUCACGAGGGUUAUGCUGUCUCCCUACUCUACUCAGUGAAACUGAUCUCCCCGUGAAGAAGCGGGGAUAAAAAUAUAAGACGAGAAGACCCCAUGGAGCUUUAAACUCAGUACCAACUGCCCAAAUAAGAACCUAUUAUACUUGCAGCUAUGGUUACUAGUUUUCGGUUGGGGUGACCACGGAGUAAAAUUAAACCUCCACGAUGAAAGGAACUAAUAACCUAACCUAUGAGCUACAGCUCUAAGUAUCAACAAAUUGACUAAUUGACCCAAUUACUUGAUCAACGAACCAAGUUACCCUGGGGAUAACAGCGCAAUCCAUUUCAAGAGCUCAUAUCGACAAAUGGGUUUACGACCUCGAUGUUGGAUCAGGGUAUCCCAGUGGCGCAGCCGCUACUAACGGUUCGUUUGUUCAACGAUUAAAACCCUACGUGAUCUGAGUUCAGACCGGAGUAAUCCAGGUCGGUUUCUAUCUAUAAAGAGUUUCUUCUAGUACGAAAGGACCGAAGUAACAUGGCCAAUGACUCAUUAAGCCAUAGCUGUAAAUUAGUGAAAACAACUUAAUUAACAUCAGCCUACGAAUUUUCCUAAGAAAAAGAUU